GAUUGAGGAUGCAAUACCAAAGAAAAAAAUUUCUCAGUUAUCUCAUAAAAUUAUAUAGUUUCAUAUUGGACCCCUCUUAGUACAUCUCAGCUCAAUAAGAUAAUUAAGUAGAGUCAUAACACUGUAUGAGAUAUGGUCCAGUUUAUGAUGGAUUUCACUGAUUUAUUUUGUUUCUUUAGGGACAUACUUUAUUUUUAAAAUUUACCUAUGGAAUUAG
rnacentral:lncRNA from 1 species